rnacentral:rRNA from 1 species
CAGGGGGUGCAAACGUUGCUCGGAAUUAUUGGGCGUAAAGCGCGCGUAGGCGGCUACUUAAGUCGGAUGUGAAAGCCCUUGGCUCAACUGAGGAAGUGCACCCGAACUGAGUGGCUUGAGUACUAAAGAGGGUCGCGGAAUUCCCGGUGUAGAGGUGAAAUUCGUAGAUAUCGGGAGGAACACCGGUGGCGAAGGCGGCGACCUGGGUAGAUACUGACGCUGAGGCGCGAAAGCGUGGGGAGCAAACAGGAUUAGAUACCCUGGUAGUCCACGCCGUAAACGAUGGGUGCUAGAUGUUUCUGGUAUUGACCCCGGAGGCGUCGUAGCUAACGCGUUAAGCACCCCGCCUGGGAAGUACGGCCGCAAGGCUA